GGGGAAUAUUGGACAAUGGGGGCAACCCUGAUCCAGCAAUGCCGCGUGAGUGAUGAAGGCCUUAGGGUUGUAAAGCUCUUUUACCGGGGACGAUGAUGACGGUACCCGGAGAAUAAGCCCCGGCUAACUUCGUGCCAGCAGCCGCGGUAAUACGAAGGGGGCGAGCGUUGUUCGGAAUUACUGGGCGUAAAGGGCGCGUAGGCGGCCGAGCAAGUUAGAUGUGAAAGUCCUGGGCUUAACCUGGGGACUGCAUUUGAUACUGCUUGGCUUGAAUUCGGGAGAGGAUAGCGGAAUUCCCAGUGUAGAGGUGAAAUUCGUAGAUAUUGGGAAGAACACCGGUGGCGAAGGCGGCUAUCUGGACCGACAUUGACGCUGAGGCGCGAAAGCGUGGGGAGCAAACAG
rnacentral:rRNA from 1 species